rnacentral:rRNA from 1 species
UACAGAGGGUGCAAGCGUUAAUCGGAGUUACUGGGCGUAAAGCGCACGUAGGUGGAUACAUAAGUUGGAUGUGAAAGACCUGGGCUCAACCUGGGAGGUGCAUACAAUACUGUGUGUCUAGAGUAUAAUAGAGGGAAGCGGAAUUUCCGGUGUAGCGGUGAAAUGCGUAGAUAUCGGAAGGAACAUCAGUUGCGAAGGCGGCUUCCUGGAUUAAUACUGACACUGAGGAGCGAAAGCGUGGGUAGCGAAC